UAUGGCUUUGGCAUUGCUUUUUGGUAUUUUUUUUUUUUACAUAAUAUAUUUCGUUAAUAAAUGUAUUUUCUUCUCCCCUACAGUUCCGUUACAAGCUCCGCCCACGAUCCAUUUCCUGUCUGUUUAGCUUAUGACGUAUAGAGCGUUCCCACUUGCUCUAUACGUGCCUACAAUGCUCGUGCCCGGCGAAGAUAACCACUGCGCAUGCACAAAACAUAGACAACGCUUACAUGAAGUACAUAUCUGUGUGCAACUGGAGCCUGAUUGGCCACUGACUGAGAAACAGAAAUGUCAUAGCUUUGUUGGUGGACAGUGACACCCCCACCCCACAACAUAAAAACAAAAAAAUUUGCUUUCUGUGAUUUACAAAAAAAGAAAAAGAAAAACAGAAAACUUUCUAUAAUUGUAACUUCCUUUUGUUUGUAAUAUGUGGCUUAGAUAAACCAUUGCAGCGAUUCAUUAAGAUUGGAAUUUUGCUCUGGCUAUAUUUCUUCUUUUUUUGUUGGUUUGUGUUCAACGCAUAACUAAUAUGAACUUAAUUACACAUUGAAAUGUAUUAGAAUAGGGCCUAAGCAUAGGUACUUUAGCUUGCAUCCUUUGGUCAAACAUAAAAACAUGGUCUUUCAUACAAGGUUGGUGUAGGGAUUAGCUUUCUCUUUGCUUUUUAAGGAUUUGUACUCUAUAAUCAUUUUUUGUUUUGAAUACAACAUGUUAAAAUGACAAUGUAUUCAGUCAAGACGCUAAUAAGUGUCCAUUGUAUUAGAAUCUGCUGUAGGAGCUCCCUUUCACACACACGUCUGUAAGGAUCUAGUUUAUCUUCUGCAUAUUCCCACAAGAGGGAGUAUGUACGUUAAUAAAUACAGCUUUUAAGUUUAUGUAAACGUGUAUAGGAAAAAUUAGAUUUGGAUAAAUAAUUUGUCUGAAAUAUAUCAAGAAUUUUGGUUGUCCGAAUCUUAUAACUCUUAUAACUUUUAACUCAUAUCAUAUAUUUUAUACUCUCCCGUGAUUUUAGAUCACAUUAGUUUGAGCUACUCAUUACCACUUCUGCUUGUUACUCACUUCUUAUAUUAUGUUAAGAAUGUAGUUUAUUAUUAUUCCACACAUAUUCUCAGGGCCGGCUCAAGAUAUUGUGCUGCCUGGGUCAGAGAAUGAAAUGACACCCCCUGCCCCAGUAGUAACAUUACUGAUUAGCAUAUCAACCUACUAGCCUGGCCGCUGACCUUACUAAGCCUGCCUGCCUACCUGUUUGCAACUAAUGCUUAUGCAAUAUUGCACAAUAAGUGGGAAGGUAGUUAGGGAAGAGAUGCCCUUGUCCCACCUUGAAUGUUGCCCCUGACCAGUUUUGUGCCUUUGUGCAUGACUAGGAUAUACUGCUCAGAGCCUGCAACUUCCCCAUGAAGACACAAAAGUGGUCUGGGUCUGACAGUGACUGACUCAGUCAAUAAAGUGCUGCCCCUUUAUCAAUUGCUGCCUAGGUCCAUUGGACCCACUUGGUCCCAUGGUUUAGCCGGCUCUGCAUUAUCUUAGUAAUAUAGAUCACUUCUUACUAAUACUUAUAACAUUGGUGUGUCUUCCGUGUCCUUCUACCUUAGUCAGUACUCACCCCUUGUCCCAUUGUUUAGUUUAUUAUAUGAAACAUUAGUAUAAAGUAAUCUUCCCUAUCUCUUCCAUUUUAUACUGCACAAUCACAUUGCAAGUAAUUUCACACAUUGUUAGUGUUUAUAUUAUAUAUAUAUUGGGUUUCAAGUAUCGUUAUAGUCUUCACUAGCAUUUACUACACCAUUUAUUUGUGUCAACCAAUAUCAGAGACCAUAUUUUUAUCACGCUUAAUCUUAACCAUAUUUGCACGUAUUUAUUGUAUAAAUCUUUUGUCUUUUAUGUCAAGUAUUGACAGUGUCCAUCUAAUAUCAUACAGUGAAGUUAUUGUUACACUGUUUAUGCAGUUACUAUAGUGAUAUGACGUCUGCAGCCCUCCCAAUUGUUGUGCGAUUGGCCAGGAUGUUGAUUGCAGAUGCCUUCUUUCCCCACAAGUUUGUCUUGAUACAUUGGGGCCCAUUUAUCAAGCUCCGUAUGGAGCUUGUGGGCCCGUGUUUCUGACUUCAGACUCUUCAGACUCACCAGAAACACCAGUUAUGAAGCAGCGGUCAGAGCAGGCGGACAGGAAUCGCUGGAAAUCAACCCGAUCGAGUACGAUUGGGUUGAUUGACACCUCCCUGCUGGCGGCCCAUUGGCCGCGAGUCUGCAGGGGGCGGCGUUGCACCAGCAGCUCUUGUGAGCUGCUGGUGCAAUGCUGAAUACGGAGAGCAUAUUGCUCUCCGCAUCCAGCAAGGUCUUGCGGACCUGAUCCGCACUGUCGGAUCAGGUCCGCAAGACCUUUGAUAAAUAGGCCCCAUUGAAUCAUACAAAUACUUUUUUACACUUUUCCAUGCUGUUGCUCAAAUAUAUUGAUUUGAUACAUAGGGGUCUAUUUACAUAUGUGCGGACAGACAUGAUCUACUAUAGCGAACCAUGUCCGACGCACAUCAAUAAAUGCCGACAGCAUACGCUGUCGGCAUUAAUCAUUGCACCAGCAGUUCUUGUGAACUGCUGGUGCAAUACCAGCAGAAACAAGGGGAACAGGGGCCAUUCGACCCUUGUUAAAUAGACCAGAUUCAGUAUAUAUUCUGUGGAAUAUAGCAUCAAGUAUGGUCAGUGACUCUGUUAACUAUCGUGGGGUGGUCCCAGUGGGGCAUAUAUUUACAUUUUAUAUCAUUUUUGUGUAGGUAUAUUUCUGUCAAUGUAGUAUGGCUUAUAUAUUUCAUUCUUUAAACUGUAUAUGUUACUUUGAUGUUUGCCAAAUUUGUUUGGUUGUUUACCUGCAUGUCUGGUGCACAUAGUAACAAGCUGUGAAACAGGUGUAUUCUAUUAUCAUGUGACCUAUCACUGCAGAGGAUAGGGUUUUUAAAUUAGCAUGUGUUGUUAGUAUACCACUGUAUUAGCUUGAGGAAACAGUCCGGUUGAGACUGAGAAACACGUUGUUGUAUUUUAUAGUAAACAAAUCUUUUUUUAUCAA